rnacentral:rRNA from 1 species
AUGGCAGAAAGAAAGGGUGUCACGACGACGAUAACGGAAACGGUGCCACAACAACGUUCUGGUUCCGGCAUAGUCGACGAAUCGGGACAGGGGAGCUUGACUGCUGGUCAUCUCCUCCACCAGGACACAGAACAGAGGCGCGACGGCAGGGAAAAACGGAGCCAGGCGAGGGACUUGGGGAUGGGCUCCAGCGACGCAGACGAGACGAAGGACGCCUCCGGGCGGAUGAGCUCUAGGCGGUGCUCGCCUCGAAGCUUUCCGGCGACGUGA